rnacentral:lncRNA from 1 species
AAACAGUGGUGAGCUAGAAUGACAAGGUGUUAAUAAAUGUCUCAAAGUUUGCUCUUUAAAGGUCAGAAACUUUCUGACAUUAAAACAUUGAAGGACUGAAAAGUAGUGUAACACAUGCUAUAAAUCUUCUAGCAGAAGCCUUCAGAAAGCCAUAAAAAGAUCAGUGUUACAACAUACGUAUGAUUGAAUUUCAAUGAAUUAUAAUUUUAUAGCAGCUAUGACGUGAAAUCUCUUUCAUCUUCUGAAAGUGAAGGUUCAGAGUCAUACAGUAUGUUACAUUGUCUUGAUGUUUGUUUAGAAUUCAGAAUACAGCAAAGGAAAGCAGAAGAAAUAAAAGAGACUACUACAAGUUACGUGAGGAAAGAGAACAACCAUUGUUUGAUUAUACAUACAUACUUAAUUGGAAUGAAAAAAUCCUCAACUUGCAACAAAACUUUAAACAGAGGAAACUGUGUUCCAAAAGAAAACUCUGUAUCCUCCGAAAAAACACUUGGUGAAUACUCCUAUGUAUGUCUCUAUGGCUGUAACUUCAGUGAAACUUACAGCUGGGAACCUUUACACUCAUGGUAAAUACAUGAGCUACUGUUGCUCAAUUGCUGCACUACAGGGAAGAAGAGAGUUUCUUUACAUGAUGCUAUUCCACACAAAAUGGGCAUACCAGCUCAG